rnacentral:rRNA from 1 species
UACGAAGGGGGCUAGCGUUGUUCGGAAUUACUGGGCGUAAAGGGCGCGUAGGCGGCGUGUCAAGUCAGGCGUGGAAGCCCCGGGCUCAACCUGGGAACCGCGCUUGAGACUGGCAUGCUCGAGUUCGGGAGAGGAUGGUGGAAUUCCCAGUGUAGAGGUGAAAUUCGUAGAUAUUGGGAAGAACACCGAUGGCGAAGGCAGCCAUCUGGACCGACACUGACGCUGAGGCGCGAAAGCGUGGGGAGCAAACAGG